rfam:Oryza nivara chromosome 10, whole genome shotgun sequence.
AGAAAGGCAAACCCCGGGUUUUCGUGCCAAUGUUUAACUGUCCGUCUUAUAUGAAAUUUUUUUAUAAUUAGUAUUUUUUGUUGUUGUUAGAUGAUAAAACAUGAUUAAUACUUUAUACGUGACUUAUAUUUUUAAUUUUUUUCAUAUUUUUUUAAAUAAGACGGACGGUCAAACGGGGACACGGAAAUCAGGGUUUGUCUUUUU